rnacentral:lncRNA from 1 species
CCAAACGACAAUAGAUCUCUCACUUAAAGCUUUUUUAUUUGAAAAUAAAAAUGAUUUUAUAAAAAAAAUGAAUCUAAUCUAUAAAUGUAUCUAAACUCUUAUUUUAUUAUAUAUCAUUAAAUCUAUUUUGUUUUAAUUGACACCAUUAAAACGAAGAGUGAAUAAACUUAUCACAAUUGUUAAUUUUCUAAAGUGUGGAAAGUCAUAACAUGCCACCUUUUCCUUUAUUAACUCGUUAUGUGCGCCUAUCAACAACAAAAAAAACUCUUUUAUGUGCACCUUUGCUUUGUUGAAAUGAGCAAAUGAUUCUUUAUGCUAGUGGCACAAACUCGGUAAUAUGGUGGAGAGCUUUUCUUAUGCAACUCCAAAAGCAUUGUUGUUAAACAAAAAGUUGCAUUGCACCUUCUUAAAAUGUAAAAUACAAAAAGACUUGAAUUGGUUACUCCAUAAUGAAAGUGGUAAGCCACGUGUUAGGUAGCACAAAUUGGCAAUUGGGGUGCUGGAUUCGUUAAAUUUGAUUUGAAGUACAAAUGAGUGUAAUUCUAAAGCUUUUUUCUCCUCCUCAAAAUAUUCUUAAAA